rnacentral:rRNA from 1 species
UGCUAAUACCGGAUAACAACAGAUGAUGCCUAUCAACUGUUUAAAAGAUGGUUCUGCUAUCACUCUUGGAUGGACCUGCGGUGCAUUAGCUAGUUGGUAGGGUAACGGCCUACCAAGGCGAUGAUGCAUAGCCGAGUUGAGAGACUGGUCGGCCACAUUGGGACUGAGACACGGCCCAAACUCCUACGGGAGGCAGCAGUG